UACGUAGGGUGCGAGCGUUAAUCGGAAUUACUGGGCGUAAAGCGUGUGUAGGCGGCCACGUAAGUCGGAUGUGAAAGCCCCGGGCUCAACCCGGGAAGUGCACUCGAUACUGCGUGGCUUGAGUACUGGAGAGGUUGGUGGAAUUCUCGGUGUAGAGGUGAAAUUCGUAGAUAUGACAUAGAACACCAAUUGCGAAGGCAGCUGGCUACAGGGAUAUUGACACUGAGGCACGAAAGCGUGGGGAUCAAACAGG
rnacentral:rRNA from 1 species